rnacentral:rRNA from 1 species
CCUACGGGCGGCUGCAGUGGGGAAUAUUGGACAAUGGGCGAAAGCCUGAUCCAGCCAUGCCGCGUGUGUGAAGAAGGCCUUCGGGUUAUAAAGCACUUUCAGUGGGGAAGAAAGCCUUGGGGCUAAUACCCUCGAGGAAGGACAUCACCCACAGAAGAAGCACCGGCUAACUCCGUGCCAGCAGCCGCGGUAAUACGGAGGGUGCGAGCGUUAAUCGGAAUUACUGGGCGUAAAGCGCGCGUAGGCGGUCUGAUAAGCCGGUUGUGAAAGCCCCGGGCUCAACCUGGGAACGGCAUCCGGAACUGUCAGGCUAGAGUGCAGGAGAGGAAGGUAGAAUUCCCGGUGUAGCGGUGAAAUGCGUAGAGAUCGGGAGGAAUACCAGUGGCGAAGGCGGCCUUCUGGACUGACACUGACGCUGAGGUGCGAAAGCGUGGGUAGCAAACAGGAUUAGAUACCCGGUAGUC